UAAAUACUUCAUCCGUCCCAAAAUUCUUGUCUUAGAGUUGUCUAGAUAUGAAUGUAUCUAGUCACGUUUUAGUAUUUAGAUACAUCCAUUUUUAGACAUACCUAAAACAAGAAUUUUGAGACGGAGGGAGUAUGUG
rfam:Hordeum vulgare subsp. vulgare, WGS project CAJW01000000 data, contig: morex_contig_2549178